UCUCUCUAAAACUGCAAAGUUUCAAAAAGUUCAAUGAAUAGAAGAUUGCUGGGGGCGGAACAGAGCUGGAAAAGGAGAAGUCUGGAGAUAAAUGUGAAAAGGGAGGGACAGGCAGUAGAAACAAAAGUGAAACUGUUUGAGCAGCACAUUCCAGAAGUCUUGAGGUCUUUCUGAAUGUAGCCUUUAUUGAUUUGUGAUCUUCCACACCAUUCUCUCACUAGAAGUGAAAACCUAGAAUGGCAGCAGGCCAUAAAAGAGACCCAGUUUGGGAAUAUUUUAAUGAAGUUCCUCUACCUGGGGGUAAGACAGGCAUGCAUGCAAAAUGCAAACAGUCCAACAAAGAAAUGCAAGGCUUCAUUGACUCAGUGAAACAACAUCAUGAGAAGUGUUCCUUCUCAGGCGGAAGCUGCGUUGAAGAUGAUGAAAGGAACAUGUCUGAACAUGCAGUAACUUCAGAUCUCACUCGGUUCCUUCCAAUUACAGAGUUAAAUUACAAGCAUUAAAAAAACGAAUGGGACAAGCUCUAUCUCCAGCUCAUUUUCUUGAAAAUAAUCUCAGUACUCAGUACCAGGGUCAAACCAUAACCGCUGAAGAAGAGUUGGUGGCUAUGACAUGGACAUCCAGCAAUCAUCCCUCCAUAAUGCCAACUAUAAUGAACUUCAGAGCUAAGGGUGAACCAUUCAAGAAAUACAUGUUUGCUGAUGAUGUUUUAAAGAAAGUCACACCAGUGAACCGGUGGAAGUCAAUAAGCACUUGGAUUCUGAGACUGUUGAAGUGAUAACCUCACUUUCAACAGCAAUAGCUUCUUCUGCUGGUGUAGAAAGAAUAUUUUCUUCCUUUGAACUAAUUCAUUCCAAAUUGAGAAAUCGUUUGGGACCUGAAAAAGCAGGAAAGCUUGUUUUUCUUUUCCAGAUUAUGAACAAACAGGAAAAUGAAGGUGAAGACAAUGACUGAGUUAGCUGCAGAAGCCAAUACACCUCUGCCUCGAUAUAACGCUGUCCUCAGGAGUCAAAAAAUCUUACCAUGUUAUAGAUGAAACUGCGUUAUAUUGAACUUGCUUUGAUCCACCAGAGUGCGCAGCCCUCCCCCGCUGGAGCACUGCUUUACCACGUUAUAUCUGAAUUCGUGUUGUAUUGGGUCACGUUAUAUCGAGGUAGAGGUGUAUUUUAAGUUUUUCAUGUUGACCUGGCUGACACAGUCGAUUUAAUUUUUUUUUAAUAUAUUCAUUUAACUGUUUUAGUUAAAAACAAUUUUAACAAAAACAAAUCUGAUUUAAAAAAAACUUGAAUGUCUAGCUAAAUUCAAACAUUCAUAUGUUUCUUUUGUUAAAAUAUUAUAUGUUUGCUGUUGAAGAAAAAAAUCCAGAAUACAUAAUGUUGUUUUAGUUAAAUAAAACAAUUUAUAUGUCUGGUGAUGUUCUCCUCCUAAUACAGCGUAGCAAGAAAAUCCUCCAAAUAUUAAUGAUUAACCUGUUGAACUGGAGAUAGUUCACUUCCCAAUGACUUCAUAAAUAUAGAUAUUUCAAUAUAAAUGAAAUAACCAAAUAAUCAAUUUUCUGAUAUAGCUGUAAAACUAAUCUGAAAAGUUUUCAAAAUAAAUCACUUAAAAAUGUA